rnacentral:rRNA from 1 species
GGCCAAGUUAUUAAGGGCGCACGGUGGAUGCCUUGGCACCAGGAGCCGAUGAAGGACGUAGGAGGCUGCGAUAAGCCUCGGGGAGCUGUCAACCGAGCUGUGAUCCGAGGAUUUCCGAAUGGGGAAACCCGGCAGGAGUAAUGUCCUGUCACCCUCACCUGAACACAUAGGGUGAGUGGAGGGAACGAGGGGAAGUGAAACAUCUCAGUACCCUCAGGAAGAGAAAGCAACCGCGAUUCCGUGAGUAGUGGCGAGCGAAAGCGGAAGAGGCUAAACCAAGCACGCGUGAUAGCCGGCAGGCGUUGCGUGUUUGGGGUCGUGGGAUCAUUCAGUUGGGUCUGCCGAUCCAGCAGAGAGUCAGAAAUUGCUGUUGUAGCCGAAGGUCAUGCGAAAGGACCGGCACAGAGGGUAACACCCCCGUAGGCGAAACCUCAGCAACUCUCGAGUGACAUCCCAAGUAGCACGGAGCCCGAGAAAUUCCGUGUGAAUCUGGCGGGACCACCCGCUAAGCCUAAAUACUCCCUGGUGACCGAUAGCGGACAAGUACCGUGAGGGAAAGGUGAAAAGUACCCCGGGAGGGGAGUGAAAUAGUACCUGAAACCGUGUGCCUACAAGCCGUGGG